rnacentral:rRNA from 1 species
GACGAACGCUGGCGGCGUGCUUAACACAUGCAAGUCGAACGGAAAGGCCCUGCUUUUGUGGGGUGCUCGAGUGGCGAACGGGUGAGUAACACGUGAGUAACCUGCCCUUGACUUUGGGAUAACUUCAGGAAACUGGGGCUAAUACCGGAUAGGAUCUCCUGCUGCAUGGUGGGGGUUGGAAAGUUUCGGCGGUUGGGGAUGGACUCGCGGCUUAUCAGCUUGUUGGUGGGGUAGUGGCUUACCAAGGCUUUGACGGGUAGCCGGCCUGAGAGGGUGACCGGCCACAUUGGGACUGAGAUACGGCCCAGACUCCUACGGGAGGCAGCAGUGGGGAAUAUUGCACAGUGGGCGGAAGCCUGAUGCAGCAACGCCGCGUGCGGGAUGACGGCCUUCGGGUUGUAAACCGCUUUCGCCUGUGACGAAGCGUGAGUGACGGUAAUGGGUAAAGAAGCACCGGCUAACUACGUG